rnacentral:snoRNA from 1 species
CAACCUUUGCACACUCUGGCCCUUACCGUCCCUUCCCGCCUUCGGGCCUGGAUUGGACCUUCAUGUGGUAUAGGCUUAUUUUUCGCAAAGAAGAUAAAUCUUCGACCCGCUACUCACCGCGGUAACCUCUGUGGCAAGCUUGCUUGUCCUUGUGGUUACAGUGGUCCAUGUUUUCGGUCAACAU